rnacentral:sRNA from 1 species
UGACAAGUGCAACAUGAGUGCCAUCUAU